CCCUGAAGGAACGACGCAGUCGGUCCAUUUUUCGAGGAGAACGCAAACUCCGUCUCUGAAAAAUAAGUUCAAUUCUCAAUCAAUCUAGGAGAGGUAAAGAAAAAUUAAUUCCCUACAUGAACAAGCGCAUCAAAGACCUACAUGUUGUCCCAGAAAAUUCGAAAUAUAAGACAGAAACUCAUGAUGAUGAAAAGUUUCCGGAGAGUCCACCGGACUAAGAAACAUUAACAUGGAUAAUCUAUUAUUAUUUUUAGCCAAUAGAAUUACAAACUUCUAUAUGAAUACGUGGAAAAAGCACAUAAAUACUUCGAGUCAUCAAUAAAGGAAAACAUUGUCCUCAAAAUUUAUCAUAAAAUUAACCGAAGAGUUUUUGAGGCAACAGAAUUUUUUUAAACAUGUUUUAAAAAUCGCAAACUGAGAAAAUAACAGGGUGUCCCGUAAACGCAUGAUCAAAACAGUACGCGACAAAAAAAGAUAGAAAACUAUCUGGUUCUCCUAUUGAUGUUCAUUUUUAAUCCUGACUUUUUCCAAUAUCGGAAUGGAAGAAUGUGAAGAUAUCUUCGCGGCAGUCGUAGCACUUAUAUUAUUUAGGCAUCUUAAAUGGAAAACAGUAGCUAAAUUUAAGCUAUUCCCCUAUUUAUGCCGAAUAGUUGUCAUAUCUACAGGGUGUCGUUUUUCAUCGUACUUCGUUCUGAAUGAUUUCAUUCAAAUGAACCUUUCAAUGGGACAAAGAACAGAACUACACGUUAAAAAUGCCUGCAUCUCUGGACCGAUCUUUAUAGGAAUGCAAUCUAAUUUUGGAUCGCCCUGUAUGAGACAUUCAAGUCACAAUUGCAUUUCAUGAAUUAUAACAUGCUGAGAGUCGACGGCCUUCUUGAAGUGGAAUGUUUCAACUUCCCUUAUGGCGGCGUCAAAAAUGCAAAUGAGGCAAACACAUGUCUUAAAUAUAAAUAUAUC